GCCAGUGUGGUGUAGUGGUUUGAGCAUUAGACUAAGCCUUUGGAGACCAGGGUGUGAAUCCCUGCUCAGUCA